UACAGAGGGGGCAAGCGUUGUUCGGAAUUACUGGGCGUAAAGGGCGCGUAGGCGGCCCGCUAAGUCGAACGUGAAAUCCCCGGGCUUAACCCGGGAACUGCGUCCGAUACUGGUGGGCUUGAAUCCGGGAGAGGGAUGCGGAAUUCCAGGUGUAGCGGUGAAAUGCGUAGAUAUCUGGAGGAACACCGGUGGCGAAGGCGGCAUCCUGGACCGGUAUUGACGCUGAGGCGCGAAAGCUAGGGUAGCAAACGGG
rnacentral:rRNA from 1 species